AAGUGGAGAAUUUGCCCAAAGCAAGAGCAGACUGAGAGGAAGGGGAAGAGUGAACAAUGACUCCUUCCAUUUGUUUGAUCGAUGGCAGAGGCAGACCCAGAGGAACGGCUGUCCAGAGAGAAGUAAGCCCAGGCACACCUUCCCGGCUGAAAGCCAGAGAUGAGGCAGAGCCUUUGUGCCGGGGAGACAAGAGCCAGUGAUGGGUGAGGAGACUGGAGCUCUGCUGAAUCCAGCACCAGGGGAGUAGAACAGCUGACAGAGCGGGUCCAACAACGAGCAGAGCACUGCAGCCUGAGCCAGUAAUUGAAGAGGCUGAGGUCCCAUAGAGAGGUGCUUAACGUGAGGGUUACCGUGGCAACACAGCCGGGACCCGUGACGUUACUUCCUGGGGAAGUAGACAACCCAGGGGGACGGAGCUGGGCCCGGGACAUGUGAGCAGCAGUGACCAGCAUGGAGGAGACUACAGGGACAACGCAGUGCUCACACGCCUAUGCUAGCUGUGGCCACCUGGAAUCACACACAGCCGCCCACGACAGCCAGCUAUAGGAGAGCUGCCACUGCUCCAGCCAGAGAGGGGCACUGCCAGUCUUGGGGACAGUUUCACCAUGUAAACCACCAGCUGCCCCACAAUGGAACUGCCGAAGCCUAGGUAGACCACCGCCACCAGUCCAGCUUCACGUUGUCGCAGCAUCCUUUUCCUAUCACAUCCCUCUGUGGAAGAUCAGCCCUCUCCAGCACCUGCCAUCUGAGCUGAGCAGCAGAGUGUGUCGCCUGCUUGAAAUGUCUGUACACUGAAGUGAAAAGAUUUUUAACCCCAGAUGUAAAUUUAUAAUACACCUUUUAGGAUCCGUU